GUAUCGCAACAUCAUCAGGGAGGUCGGCAAUGAGAACAUGCGAUGUUCAAAUUGACUAUGGGAUGUUCGUGGCAAUGGUGAAGAAGGGGAUCAUCAGGAAUGGAAGUCUGACCAUCAUUCUCCAUGGAGCAGACGACCUCGACUAUCCUUUGAUUGAAAUAUUCAUAUACAACACACUAUAUUUGUUCGCAUUGUGCUAUAGAUCAUAUCAAUAUUUUUAAGUCAAGUCGUGUAAAAAAAACUGAGGAUAACGAGUAUAGGAGAAGCUUUAAUAUUAGAGCAACAGGGGAGGAGCAAAUGAUUGAAUGGGCUAUCAGCCGUGUAAAAUAAAACUCAGGGUAACGUCACCAGGUGGAAAACUAUAUUUGAUUGACAUCGUAACACUAGCAAGGUGAAUAACAAUGUAACAUUAUCUUUUCA